rfam:Ketogulonicigenium vulgare Y25, complete genome.
AGGUCGGGAGGCAGCCCUUGGGAAGGCUGCCAUGAAUAGACCUGAACCCCCAUUUCUCCAUGGGCGCGCGCCGAUGCCCGACGGCCCGCUU